rnacentral:snRNA from 1 species
AUACUCUGGUUUCUCUUCAAAUCGUAUAAAUCUUUCGCCUUUUACUAAAGAUUUCCGUGGAGAGGAACAAUUCCGAGUCUUUAAACCAAUUUUUUGAAAGGUCCCACGUUUGUGGGACU